CAACCCUCAGGCCCCCCCGGGGGCCUGGUGUUGGGGGCCGGCCCUGGCCGCCCCCGAAACGCAGUGGCGACCUCGCCGCGGCCUCCCCUGCGUAGUAGCACACACCUCGCACCGGAGCGCGGAGACGGUCACGCCGUAAAACGCCCCAGCUCAAG
rnacentral:misc_RNA from 1 species